rnacentral:pre_miRNA from 1 species
CCGCGUCCUGGGCUUGUUUUCAGUUGCCUGCGGGUUUAUUUGGACGACUCAGGCAGCUAAAGCAAGUCUGGGACGGGU